UACGAAGGGGGCUAGCGUUGCUCGGAAUUACUGGGCGUAAAGGGCGCGUAGGCGGAUAGUUUAGUCAGAGGUGAAAGCCCAGGGCUCAACCUUGGAACUGCCUUUGAUACUGGCUAUCUUGAGUUCGGGAGAGGUGAGUGGAAUGCCGAGUGUAGAGGUGAAAUUCGUAGAUAUUCGGCGGAACACCAGUGGCGAAGGCGGCUCACUGGCCCGAUACUGACGCUGAGGCACGAAAGCGUGGGGAGCAAACAGGG
rnacentral:rRNA from 1 species